GUUUUUGUUGCUAAUAACGAAUUUGGCCCCCAAAAUUUUUCGAAAUUAACGAAAAUUCGUUAUUUUCGAAAUUAAUUCGUUAAUGGCGGACGCGCAUGCGCGGUCGCCCCAAAACAGCCCCGGGGGGGGGACUUAGGGGGCUCUCCCGCCCUCAUUUUUUGAGUGAUCUUCUUCAAACUUGGUACAGUGGUAGAACACAUUUAACACUGAUAGCUCACCAAAAUGUGGAACGUUUCCCUUAUCCUCUGAUUUUUGGCAAAUUUUCAUAGCUUUUAUAAUAAACCAUUUUUUAAUAAUUGCAGAAAUCUGUUCCUGGUUUGAAAGUCUUAUUUCCUGUUUCAUUGGGUUGUCUUUACUGUGAAAGUCAUUGUUCUACUUCAGAAACUUUGUUUUUGUGGCUGAAACUUUGUUAAAUUGGUGGACCAAACCAUAAUAUGUUCCAUCCAUGUCGCUUGCACAAAGUUCAGGCAGUGUCAUAGAUUUUGCCAUGUUUCUAUGACAGAACCAAUUAGGAAAUGACAUUUAUCACCCAGGAACAGAAAUCGUAGUACACCAUCAAAUCAUUCCUGACAGAUGGCUAUCAGCCUCUGAAUAAGGAAAUUAGUUCCUGGUUUGAAAGUGCUAUUUCCUGUUCCAUUGGCUUUUCUGGGCUGAGAGUGUGUGACUUGCCCAAGUGGGUGGCAGAGUGGGGAAUCAUGCCACAAUUGGAGUCCAAAAUUCAAACCUCUUCCUCCCUCCUUCUCUCUAAACUUCUCAUACCUUCCAAGAAUUCACAUACUGUAUGAAAGUUUGGUCAAGAUGGUCAGAGGAGGGCAACUAAAAUGAUCUAGGGUCUGGAGAACAAGCCCUAUGAGGAGUGGCUUAAAGAACUGGGCAUGUUUAGCCUGCAGAAAAGAAGGCUGAGAGGAGACAUGAUGUAUAAUAUGUGAGGGGAAGUCAUAGAGAGGAGGGAGCAAGCUUGUUUUCUGCUGCCCUGCAGACUAGGACACUGAACAAUGGCUUUAAACUACAGGAAAGGAGAUUUCACCUGAACAUUAGGAAGAACUUCCUCACUGUGAGCUGUUCACCUGUGGAACUCUCUGCCCCGGACUGUGGUGGAGGCUCCUUCUUUGGAGGCUUUUAAGCAGAGGCUGGAUGGCCAUCUGUUGGGGGUGCUUUGAAUGCGAUUUCCUGCUUCUUGGCAGAAUAGGGUUGGACUGGAUGGCCCAAGAGGUCUCUUCCAACUCUACUGUUCAAUGACUCUCUGAUUCUAAGCGAGGACAAAAGGGGGUGGAGAAUGUUAAGAGGAGAGAGGGCCUGGAACACCUGGGAAUUGUAGUUUUAAAGCGGGCAUAAUACUAUUGGAGAAACGUUUGCUUCAGCCCAAUGCUUUUAUAAAUGGUCAAUAUUCAGAGGCUUCCUUCUCCUGCAUUUUGAAAGCUAUUAUGAUGAAAUUUGCCAGAAUGGAAGCAAAAAUUAAGUACUCUUUGCCUAUCAAGUUUCAUAAUGUUUGACCCAUCCACUGAUUUUUGGGGAUUUCUGAAGCAACAUUUUUUUAAAAUGUUAGCAGAUCGAUAGCCACGCCUCCCUGUCCUUCUUCCUUCCACUUUGAUUGGCUUGCUAAGGCUUCUGGGAAAUGGAGUUUUUUCUCUCGUUAUGGCGAAUUGCUUCAUUAAUGGUCAAUAUUCAGAGGCUUCGUUCUCCUGCAUUUUGAAAGCUAUUAUGAUGAAAUUUGCCAGAAUGGAAGCAAAAAUUAAGUACUCUUUGCCUAUCAAGUUUCAUAAUGUUUGACCCAUCCACUGAUUUUUGGGGAUUUCUGAAGCAACAAUUUUUUAAAAUGUUAGCAGAUCGAUAGCCACGCCUCCCUGUCCUUCUUCCUUCCACUUUGAUUGGCUUGCUAAGGCUUCUGGGAAAUGGAGUUUUUUCUCUCGUUAUGGCGAAUUGCUUCAUUAAUGGUCAAUAUUCAGAGGCUUCGUUCUCCUGCAUUAUGAAAGCUAUUAUGAUGAAAUUUGCCAGAAUGGAAGCAAAAAUUAAGUACUCUUUGCCUAUCAAGUUUCAUAAUGUUUGACCCAUCCACUGAUUUUUGGGGAUUUUUGAAGCAACAUUUUUUUUAAAAUGCUAGCAGAUCGAUGUCCCAUGCCUCUCCCUCCCUCCCUCUUCCGCUCUGAUUGACUGAGAGGCAUGCCAACAUGGCUUCUCCUCUACAGCUUCAUCCGAAGACAUCAGAAACAAAUGAAAAAAGCUCACUACUGCUCCUGGUUCUCUGCAAAGGAAGAGAAACAUGCUUGGAAAACAUGUAACCAAAGAAGCAAGAUCUAGGAUACAGUUUGAUGCAAGAAGACGACUUCCCUGGACCUAAACACAAACAUAACAAGGGCACAAAAACAGUGGACAAUUGUGCCCUACAGGCCCAAAAGAAUGUAUGAGAGCAUUCAUGUUUUGCAGAAGGAAAUGGGAAACUGAAGAAGAGAACAAAAUGAAAGUGAGCCUAGCUGGCUAAGUGGAACGUUCAACAGAGUGCUACAAAUUACAAUAACUUUACAAUAACAUCCACAGGCUACCGGUGGUUAAAAAAUUAAAAUACAGUGCAAACAAAAUUUGUAGCAACACAUACUUCACUCUAAAAAAAAACCCUUCAGUUUUAUUUGCCACAUGUUUUUGUACAGUUUACACAGAAUGUAUUUCAUAGGAUUUUUUUAAAAAAACUUUUUAACAGGAUGCCUGUACAUUUCUGAGUUUUUCAGAAUUCUUUAGUUUGAAAUAAAAACCACAGAUACAACUCCAUGAAGUUUGAAACUAAGGGUUUUUUCCAUGCGCUCCAGUGAAAGCAUAAUCAGGAAAGUGUUCUGUGAUAUUAGAGUAUUCCUUUGAUGGCAACACAAAUUAAAUUUAGCUCAAGUUACAUAAAAAUAAUAAUAACCUUAACACUUUUAAUCAGCAUAAGAGGUUUAUAGAUCUGCAAGUGAUUUAAAGGCUGUUGGCCUGGGUACCAAUGCAUUUGCAAUAUUGUGCAUUAGUGAAAUCGCAGAGAUUACAGAGUGGGGAAAACCCUUCAAAAUAAUAAAUGAAAAUAUAUAAAACAAUAAAAACGCUAGGAUCUAUAUAAGAGGAGAAAAGCCUUGUUUUGGCUCUGGGGUUGUAGUAGUUUAUCUCUAGAAUACAAGAAACAGGGAUUUCAUCUUAUAUGGAUCAAAAGUGACAGAGGUUGGGAGUCUGACUGUCUGGCUAAUACAGUAGGAUUAUCCAGCACAUUGGGGAAACAGAUUGCAGUGGAUUUUAUGCAACAUUAACUUAUUUGACCCAACAAAGUGCACAGAGAAAAAGCUGCCCUGUCAUCAUCUUCCCCCAAGCAACCCACAAAAUGCAGCUGCUGAUUCCGAACAGUAACACAUGAGAAGCAAGUAACUUGCUAGGAAAAGGAAAACAUUGAUGAGCCACUCACCUGUAAAAAGGUGGGCUCUUAUAACAAGAUUGCACCCCAGUGCGCACUUGACUUUUGAGUAUGUUACACCAAAUAUGCACAGGACCAGGUAACACCCAUCUAUUAGUCUCAAAUGAUGUUUCAUAGUUUGUGGCUCUCAAAGCCUUAUUAAUCUGCAUUGUUUCUGAGUCACAUAGCUCCACAUCUCCAGCUGUUAAAUGCUCAUUUUGAAGACAGAUGUGUUAUGCAGAACAUUCCCAAAUGUUAUUUUUAUCAUGUAUUUAACUACUUGUUGCAACAGGGUGGAGUUGUGCAAUUCUGGACUGCAAAAGAAAAUUGGUUCUGCAUUCAUGAUUUUAUGAUAAAUAUUCAAAUUGUGAAAAAUAAAUUAAAACUCUUGUGCUAUUACAUUGGCUUGUCCCAUUUCAGUGCAAUCCAGAUGUGUUAGACAAUUAUUGUUGUACACAGCCAACACGAUCACUAGGUAUCCAAAUGGAAAAAGGGCUGAGGUACAAACAUAUUCUUAGGCAUGCAAUUUCAGAUCUAAAUACUAGGUUCUAAAAUGGUGGUGUGUGCUGUAGUGGCUGGACAUGAUGAGGAUGCUUUCCAUCACGAACUUUGCUUCCAACGGGGAUUAUUGACUUCUUCAAACCAGCAGCAUAACAGGUAGACCUGGUUGUCUUUUUUGCUUCUAGGGCCCUGUUUUAAGGGCUGUACACUGGGCCUGCUUCUUCCUGUCUCAAUGGUAAAAUGUCAAAAUAGUUUGUUUUCUUGCACAUGUCCUUCUCAAGGAAUCCCUGUUCCUAAAUAUGGUGGGUUCUGUGUCUGUUGUGAACAUGAGUCUCAGAUGCAUUAAAUUUCUACUCUAGAUAGAAAUGGACCUUGACUGCUGCCAUUCCUUUAAUUUUCUUUCCUUUGACCAUAAUUUAUACAAUAUUUUCUUUACAAAGCAUAUAAACUUUAAUCUUACAAAGGGGAUUCUAGUUUGUCUCAGAACACAGACCACUGUCCUUGAAGACACCACAGAGCACUUUCUCAUUUUUGUUGCACAGGACUAAUUUUGGGCUUUGUCUUAAAGCAGCAAACAGAUUCUAGCAUGUUUUAAAAUUAAAUAACUUGUUGGAACAAUGCAUAGUCACAAUUCCAAAUGCAAUUUAAAUCAUUAACAUUAUCCUAUACAACAUAAACAGUGAAAAGCUUGCAGUAGCUUGAAUAGGAUUUUGAACAAUGGAAGGUGCCUAACCAUGUGGUUGCACAAUGGGAAAAUGAAUCACAGCACAAAUAUGUCUUUUGUAUGAGAUUUUGUCAUGAGGUUCUGCUAUUUCCAUUCAUAAGGGUUUUUAUUUUGUAUAGGGUAUAAAGUAGCUAGGAACUAAGAAGAUUAAACAACCGGCAGAAAUAGUUCGAAAAAAAAUCACUCCCAAGUAUUUGACAUAUGGCAUGUCUGUGGCCUCUGACCUAUUUUCAAAACCCUCUACAAGCAAUCAGUCGAGAUUGUCGCAACUGGCUAGAAUUAUCUUGUCUCUUCAUUGGAUAAAGAAGACAAUGAAAGAGAGAAAG